UCGGUUCAUAUGUAGAUUUUUUGAAUUAAUGUGAACACACAACUGAGCCUUAAUGUGUUACCGCCAUACGAUGCAAAAAAAAUUGUAGCUACAUCCAAAAACCACAUGCAAGAUUCAGGUUACAAACAAAUAUAAAUUUUGAUGCAUUUAAAAAACCUUAGACCAAAGCCAGCCCACUCACAACUUUGGCCUUAUGCCUGUGGAUCGUGCAGGCUACCGAGCACUACAACACGUCCUAGCAUCGCCACAUGCCUUAUCAAACUUUGGUCUGAAGUGAAUUUGCUUGCUGUUGCAAUUGUUUGCUAUAAUAUUCUUUGCCUUUGGUUGACCAAACACCACCUCAAAUUGUGAUUUGAGAAGCGGUAAUUUAACACCACAAUAUCCCAAAGUAGCAUGCAUAUUCAUAAGCUUCUAUACACGCUUUGGUAAUAAUUUUUAUAACCCAUCUAGAGUUGUCUGAGAAGAAGUACUGAUUUCAGAUUGCAGCAGAAACAUCAGCAUAUCGUCCAUUGUUUGCAUAAUGCACCCGUAUGUCAUAUGUUCUCUCUAUCAAGCACCUGAAACAUUGGAAGCUUGGUCAAAUCACUUCUCAACAUCUUGAAGAUACAUUGGGAGCUUGGUCAUCCAAUCAGGAAACAUAUUAAGCUAACAAUUGAUUGAAGAUGCGAAAUAAUUGAAUUGAAUUGAAGAGAAAAGACAGAGCAAGGUGGCUCACGGGAGGAUUCAGUAUAGUAUGUAGUAUGCAGCAACAGUAACCCCAACCACAGGGCAGCCAGCAACCUCAGCGACGCCGGUGUCCGCGACGGGUGUCAACCCAAGGUAGGCAGCAACCCAACCCCAGCACCGGAGGCCCCCCGUUGGCAGUCCUAGGUUGAGGCGUCUUGAAAGGACCUGAGUUUCUAACAUAGAUUACAAUGGAAUGUCCAAAGCAUUCUCCAACUUCUUGAAACGAUGCUUGUCCUCGCAACCUCUUUCAGUGGCAGCAUUGAGAUUAUAAGAGUCUGAAUCUCCUGCGACAAGAAAGGACUUGAGUUUCUAACUGGUAGACACAAUGAGCUGAAUGUGCAGGUAUUUGAAAGAGAAAUCUUGAGAUGGAAGCUGUAGUUUCUUUUUCAGUGGCUUCACUGCAUGCUUCGUGAUGUUUUUAAGCAAGAUAACAUUCCAAUUCAUACAGAAACCAAGUUAAGCAAGGAAUCUAAAAUGUCGAGCCCCACUUAGGAACAAGAUGAUAUUUUUAUGCACAAAAUAAUUUAAGCGAGACCUAAACAUUGAGCCUCACAUUUUGCCAUAGGGUUCCACAUCCAUGGUUCGUGGAGACACACGUGCAUCACAUCAAGCAACGAUUUAAUUUCCCUUGUUGUAAUGUAAGGAAGAUUAGGAGAGAGAGAGAGAGAGAGGAAAAAAGGAGGAACCAACAGAAGGUGAGUUACCGCAGGCAGGUCCAACUUCCGGAAGGACGACGUGUCACCGGUGGCUACACCGUGGAGGUGCUCAGUUCUGCCCAGCUUGCCCGUCGCCGCAUCUUCCAUAGACUGCUGCAGUGAGGGAGGUUCCACAGGUUAGUUAAUGGCGAAAGGAACUCUGCGCCCGCAAAUUUGUCAGAAACACGUACGGGAGAGGAGAGGAUGCUAGCGCAACUUACUUUCUAAUAUAAUAGAGGAGGAGGUGCAGGUGCAGGAGGGGGAUCUGCUUCGUCCUCCUUGGCUCAGGCCAUCCACAAAUCCAUCUACUCCGACAGAUGAUGCUCCUGGUCGGCCGGCGUCGGGGCUGCUCACCGCGGCAUCGCGGCCGGUGUCCUGCGCCUCGCCCAUGUCCUUUUCCGAGCGGGCGGCAACCGGUGAGGGUGGGGCGAGCGAGCGGCGGCGUGGAGGGGAGGCGGCGCCCGCGACGAGCAGGUGAAGGCGGGGCGGGCGGGGCGGAGCGGUUGGCGAAAAGGACGUGCGAGGAUUAGCGUUAGCGUUAACGAAGACUUCGUUAUUUCGUUAACAAAAGUUUUAGUCCAUUGAUUACGUGAUUGGAUGGUUGAGAUUGUAAGUUGAAUCUGCCCUCUCGUGCUUUUUAUAGUGUAGAUGAUAUCUAGUAACAAACAAAGAC
rnacentral:lncRNA from 1 species